AAUAACUAGAAACCAUCUCCCAUAUCAGACACCAAACCCAUUUUCCCCAAAAUUAAAUCCCCCAAAUCCCUAAGUUGUCACCGCCCUCUCCACCAUCGAUUCGACAUCAUACAGCCGCCGUUGAGUGCACUGCCACCCCUAUCGUGAUCGUCGUCUUGCUCCGACUAAAACAUGACCACAAUCCUGCCGUAAGACAACCCACUCAUCGUGGAAAUCAACAUGAAGCUUCACCAGAGAAACAAGCCUUUGCCUCGAUUUUCUUCGUUUUCCGUCGGAUCCGGUGGUCGUCUCAGCUCACCGCCCUCACCCUUGCAUUUCAUAGGUGAUUCCGAUCAAAACCCAGGUGGGUUCGUCGUCUCUCCGUCGCUGCUCUGUUCAACCACCAUGGGUGAGUUAUUAGUCACUUUUAUGGUCAUUUUAAUUGUGAUUGUGGCUUGUAUUGGAUUUAAUUCGUGUUGUUUGGCUAUGUGGAUGCUUUUGGAGUAAUCGGAUCACCUCAACAACCCCUGUCAUCGUCGUACGCACUGUCGGUGCGCGUGGGACUUCUCGACCAACCAAUGAAGCUAUAGAUCUGGUCUGGUCAGACCAAACCGAUUCAAAUCGGUCCAAACCGACUCGACCGAUUCAACUCAGUACUCGUGACUCUCCCGAUCGUUCGACAGCUUAACCCAACUCCUCUCGAUCCAUUUGACCCCGUCAGCCAAUGAUUACAUGUUCGAGCAUUGUUGCAGAGCAUGACGAGACAGGUGCUCAGUAGACUCACUGACUGUCCCCUUUUUGCUAAGUGUGUUCCCUAUGUGCUAUAUGAUUAUUUUAUCUGUUUUGAUAUGCGAUUUACCGAAACUACUAAUAUAUUGAAUCUUUUCGAUAUUAUG